UUGACCUCGAAUCAGGUAGGAAUACCCGCUGAACUUAAGCAUAUCAAUAAGCGGAGGAAAAGAAACCAACAGGGAUUGCCCCAGUAACGGCGAGUGAAGCGGCAACAGCUCAAAUUUGAAAUCUGGCUCUCGGGCCCGAGUUGUAAUUUGUAGAGGAUGCUUUUGGUGAGGUGCCUUCCGAGUUCCCUGGAACGGGACGCCAUAGAGGGUGAGAGCCCCGUCUGGUUGGACACCGAUCCUCUGUAAAGCUCCUUCGACGAGUCGAGUAGUUUGGGAAUGCUGCUCUAAAUGGGAGGUAUAUGUCUUCUAAAGCUAAAUACCGGCCAGAGACCGAUAGCGCACAAGUAGAGUGAUCGAAAGAUGAAAAGAACUUUGAAAAGAGAGUUAAACAGUACGUGAAAUUGUUGAAAGGGAAGCGCUUGUGACCAGACUUGGGCUUGGUUGAUCAUCCGGGGUUCUCCCCGGUGCACUCUUCCGGCUCAGGCCAGCAUCAGUUCGCCCUGGGGGAUAAAGGCUUCGGGAAUGUGGCUCUCUCCGGGGAGUGUUAUAGCCCGCUGCGUAAUACCCUG
rnacentral:rRNA from 3 species